UUAUUUGUACCCAGCGUGGACCUAGAGUACCAUGUAAACACAUAUUUGCAAAGCUCCUGCAAUUACACUUUGGAAAAGUAUGCAUGUGCACAGGUGAGAGUGAUCUUCAGAAAAAUACAUAAGAAGCUACUGUAGACAUUUAAGUGACUCAAUCUCAAACACCAACAGUUGGAGAAAUUCACAGCCAGUCAGCUAGCAUCUGCCCUGAUGUGUGACCUACCUGGAAACAGCAGUCGUUCAAAAGUGCUUUGGAAGAUGCUGCUCACCACACAUUCUGACAUUUUGAACCCGGCUCUGGACAACCUUGCUGACAUGUCCAUGACAGCAGUGGCACCAUCAGCAACAGACAUUUUGGACGUGAUUGGUGAAAUGAGAGUGUCGAUGCUUACUGAUGAGCAGCUGAUGAACAGCAGUGUGAUACAACUGUGGUUUUCCAGCAGACUGAGAAGCUUCCUGCCCUUUGCAUCAGGAAGGUUUCUGCACUGUUUGAGCAACAGGAACAUCAGCUGUCAGUCAUACCAGCAAAUACUGCAUGUAUUUGUCCAGAAUUUUGAAAACAUAACAUUACAACAGCAGCAAUUGGUGUUAAAGAACUUCAUCCUUCGCUUCCUGCUCCAGCAGCCUUCAGGCUGUGUGUUUGCCACUAACAGCAGUGCACUGUGGCUAAAGAACAACUUUGGUCCAUUUUCAAUGUUUUUGAGCAUUGAACAGUUGCUUCAUAUCAACCCAAACUUUGACCCAUUGGAAGUCCUACAAACCCUGACUCCCAAGCAGAUUGCAGAGCUGCUGGUGUUAAACCUUCCACAAAAAGAUCACGUCAUCAACAGGCUUUUUAAUCAUUUAUUUAAACCUGAUCAACAGAAGAAUUUACCAGAGUUUCUUUCCCACCUAAUCAUGCUCAUCCCACAGGCCAACCUUUCCUGCUCUUCAUACAAAACUCUGUUUACCAGACUGGACAUGGCAUUGGCUGCAGUUUCAGGGGACAUAGCUUCAGCCAUCACGCAGUACAAGAUGGAUUUAUCCAUGUAUAUACCAUCAGGUUGCAUCAUAUACAGCGGAGAGUGUAACAUCACCAUGAUCAUGAAAACAGAUAUUUGUGUUGGAGUGAACAGGUGA
rnacentral:lncRNA from 1 species